rnacentral:rRNA from 1 species
AUUGAACGCUGGCGGCAGGCUUAACACAUGCAAGUCGAGCGGGGAAGGGUAGCUUGCUACCUAACCUAGCGGCGGACGGGUGAGUAAUGCUUAGGAAUCUGCCUAUUAGUGGGGGACAACAUUCCGAAAGGAAUGCUAAUACCGCAUACGCCCUACGGGGGAAAGCAGGGGAUCUUCGGACCUUGCGCUAAUAGAUGAGCCUAAGUCAGAUUAGCUGGUUGGUGGGGUAAAGGCCUACCAAGGCGACGAUCUGUAGCGGGUCUGAGAGGAUGAUCCGCCACACUGGGACUGAGACACGGCCCAGACUCCUACGGGAGGCAGCAGUGGGGAAUAUUGGACAAUGGGCGCAAGCCUGAUCCAGCCAUGCCGCGUGUGUGAAGAAGGCCUUUUGGUUGUAAAGCACUUUAAGCGAGGAGGAGGCUACUUGGAUUAAUACUCUAGGAUAGUGGACGUUACUCGCAGAAUAAGCACCGGCUAACUCUGUGCCAGCCGCCGCGGUAACAC